rnacentral:lncRNA from 1 species
AGAAAACAAAAGAGGAGCAAUCUAAGGAGAUCCAAAUUUUGUUUUGGAGACAAGAAGGAAAGGAAGAAGCAGAUAAGCAAUAAAUAAGAAGAUGAAGAGGUAAUAUACAAUAUACUUUGGUUUGUUUUCGAAAGAUUUCACGGGAUGUGUCAAUGACACUAUCUGGAAGAUUCUCAUAUGCUCCUUUUGUUUUUAAUCCAAAACUGGUAAUCCUUAAUGACUUUGUGGAGUGAUUAAGUACAUAUCAGCAGCGUGUUAAGCAAAAGUUAUGAGUUGAUUUUUUUGUUUGUUAUAAUCAUUCUACUGCUAUUUAACCAAAUCCUAUUAGCCAUAUAAUUUUAAUGAUUUUUGUACAAUGAAGUAUAGAAAGACAUACAAUUGUGCCAAUAAAAACAAAUCAGGCUGCAUUCAAUUCCUGGUGUCAAUGAAUUACUAGAACCUUGUUUAUCUUUUUGUUUUUAUG